rnacentral:rRNA from 1 species
AGGAUAGAUACCCUGGUAGUCCACGCCGUAAACGAUGUCUACUAGCAGUUUGGAGCUUAAGCUCUGUCUUGCGCAGCUAACGCAUUAAGUAGACCGCCUGGGGAGUACGGCCGCAAGGUUAAAACUCAAAUGAAUUGACGGGGGCCCGCACAAGCGGUGGAGCAUGUGGUUUAAUUCGAUGCAACGCGAAGAACCUUACCAUCUCUUGACAUCCAGAGAAUUUAGUAGAGAUACUUUAGUGCCUUCGGGAACUCUGAGACAGGUGCUGCAUGGCUGUCGUCAGCUCGUGCCG